GACGAACGCUGGCGGCGUGCCUAAUACAUGCAAGUAGAACGCUGAAGGAGGAGCUUGCUUCUCUGGAUGAGUUGCGAACGGGUGAGUAACGCGUAGGUAACCUGCCUGGUAGCGGGGGAUAACUAUUGGAAACGAUAGCUAAUACCGCAUAAGAGUAGAUGUUGCAUGACAUUUACUUAAAAGGUGCAAUUGCAUCACUACCAGAUGGACCUGCGUUGUAUUAGCUAGUUGGUGAGGUAACGGCUCACCAAGGCAACGAUACAUAGCCGACCUGAGAGGGGGAUCGGCCACACGGGGACUGAGGCACGGCCCAGACUCCUACGGGAGGCAGCAGUAGGGAAUCUUCGGCAAUGGACGGAAGUCUGACCGAGAAACGCCGCGUGAGUGAAGAAGGUUUUCGGAUCGUAAAGCUCUGUUGUAAGAGAAGAACGAGUGUGAGAGUGGAAAGUUCACACUGUGACGGUAUCUUACCAGAAAGGGACGGCUAACUACG
rnacentral:rRNA from 1 species